GUGCUCGCUUCAGCAGCACAUACACUCAAAUUGGAACAAUACGGAGAAGAUUAGCAUGAUCCCUGUGCAAGGAUGACACGCAAAUUCAUGAAGCAUUCCAUAUUUUU
ensembl:snRNA U6 U6 spliceosomal RNA